AACGAACGCUGGCGGCGUGGAUAAGACAUGCAAGUCGAACGAGAGAAUUUGCUAGCUUGCUAAUAAUUCUCUAGUGGCGCACGGGUGAGUAACACGUGAGUAACCUGCCCCCGAGAGCGGGAUAGCCCUGGGAAACUGGGAUUAAUACCGCAUAGUAUCGAAAGAUUAAAGCAGCAAUGCGCUUGGGGAUGGGCUCGCGGCCUAUUAGUUAGUUGGUGAGGUAACGGCUCACCAAGGCGAUGACGGGUAGCCGGUCUGAGAGGAUGUCCGGCCACACUGGAACUGAGACACGGUCCAGACACCUACGGGUGGCAGCAGUCGAGAAUCAUUCACAAUGGGGGAAACCCUGAUGGUGUGACGCCGCGUGGGGGAAUGAAGGUCUUCGGAUUGUAAACCCCUGUCAUGUGGGAGCAAAUUAAAAAGAUAGUACCACAAGAGGAAGAGACGGCUAACUCUGUGCCAGCAGCCGCGGUAAUACAGAGGUCUCAAGCGUUGUUCGGAAUCACUGGGCGUAAAGCGUGCGUAGGCUGUUUCGUAAGUCGUGUGUGAAAGGCGCGGGCUCAACCCGCGGACGGCACAUGAUACUGCGAGACUAGAGUAAUGGAGGGGGAACCGGAAUUCUCGGUGUAGCAGUGAAAUGCGUAGAUAUCGAGAGGAACACUCGUGGCGAAGGCGGGUUCCUGGACAUUAACUGACGCUGAGGCACGAAGGCCAGGGGAGCGAAAGGGAUUAGAUACCCCUGUAGUCCUGGCAGUAAACGGUGCACGCUUGGUGUGCGGGGAAUCGACCCCCUGCGUGCCGGAGCUAACGCGUUAAGCGUGCCGCCUGGGGAGUACGGUCGCAAGAUUAAAACUCAAAGAAAUUGACGGGGACCCGCACAAGCGGUGGAGUAUGUGGCUUAAUUCGAUGCAACGCGAAGAACCUUACCUGGGCUUGACAUGUAAUGAACAACAUGUGAAAGCAUGCGACUCUUCGGAGGCGUUACACAGGUGCUGCAUGGCCGUCGUCAGCUCGUGUCGUGAGAUGUUUGGUUAAGUCCAGCAACGAGCGCAACCCCUGUUGCCAGUUACCAGCACGUGAAGGUGGGGACUCUGGCGAGACUGCCCAGAUCAACUGGGAGGAAGGUGGGGACGACGUCAGGUCAGUAUGGCCCUUAUGCCCAGGGCUGCACACGUACUACAAUGCCCAGUACAGAGGGGGCCGAAGCCGCGAGGCGGAGGAAAUCCUGAAAACUGGGCCCAGUUUCGGACUGUAGGCUGCGAACCCGCCUACACGAAGCCGGAAUCGCUAGUAAUGGCGCUUCAGCUACGGCGCCGUGAAUACGUUUCCCGGGUCU
rnacentral:rRNA from 1 species